UGAAAAUUCUUGAUGCUGGUGACGUACCUGCCUGUAUCUGAUGACAAAGAAAAUGAACUGCUACAGGAAACUCUUCAGAUAAUGUCUAAAAGCAGAAAAUACAUGAAAGAAGACUUUGUAGAUCAAGAUCUCUUCAGCACAUAUUGUCUCAGAGCUGUACUCUGAAGAUGAUACCUACAAUGAUGAUUUGGAGUCAUUAUAGAUGGUGCCAUCUCUUCUACCAGAAGCUUCAUGAAAAUAGUCUUCAUUAGGCAUGCUGAUGCCUCUCUCCUGUAUGCAGAAUACACUACCUGCAGAUAAGAAAUUCUUAACUGAGAAAUGCUCAUGUUGGGAUAUCAUCAAUGAGACUUUAAUUUGGGCAUGGUGACUGUUUCCCUUGCUGCCACUUGACUCAA